rnacentral:rRNA from 1 species
GACGUAGGGCGCGAGCGUUGUCCGGAUUUAUUGGGCGUAAAGAGCUCGUAGGCGGCUUGUUGCGUCGGCUGUGAAAUCCCAUGGCUCAACUGUGGGCUUGCAGCCGAUACGGGCGGGCUAGAGUUCGGUAGGGGAGACUGGAAUUCCUGGUGUAGCGGUGAAAUGCGCAGAUAUCAGGAGGAACACCGAUGGCGAAGGCAGGUCUCUGGGCAUUAACUGACGCUGAGGAGCGAAAGCAUGGGGAGCGAACAGG